UUGUAUUUAUAUUUUAGCUGGCGUAGAGCGAUACAGUUGUGUCUUUGAGGACUGCAGUUUAUGCUCAAUUUUCACGUUUAAAAAUGGCUAACCAACAGGUAACAAAAUGUUCUUGUUAACGACAUAUUAUGCUGAUAAAUAACGAAUUCAUAAUGCAGUAGACUACGUACCACUUACAAGUCUAUCGUAAGUCUACUAUUUUCGCUUUUGAGAUCAGUCGUCAUUUCAUUAUUAUAUUUCUUAGUAUUUCAGAUAUACUACCAUCAAGUCCAUUCUUUAAAUUAAGCCUGGUUCACAUAUAUGCCUCUACUUGCCGCCGAAAUACCGGCAAAGUUGACCUCAAGUCAACUCAACUUUCCCGGCCAACCGCCGAUGUAUCUGUGGCACUGGAGGCAAUCGGCGAACAAAUGUUCACAUAAUUUACGUUUUAAAGCUACCAACCGGCAUAUGUGAACCAAGGCUUUAGACUGCAGUAUUUACUUUUUGUCUAAGGUAAUGUUUGUGUGACCAAUGAUAGUAUGUUUCGAAUUCUGUGAUCAGGAAGAGCUUUAGGUCAGAGUGAUGAAACAUCUUAGGAAAAAUAGUCUCGAAUACAGUAGAAUAAUUUGUUAUGUAUAUAGGCUAUAGCUUUAAUUUCUCAUUCUCCUUGUAAAUAUUGUAAAUAAUUCAAAUGUCACGGCGUCUGGGAAGAUCAUCUUAUUUUCGAUGAGAGGCCUCCGUGGCUAAAUAAGUUCACUAUUCACUAAGAUACUAUUCUUAAGCUUCUAUCCGUGUCUGAGUCACAUCGGCAGUACACAGUACAAUGAUAUUUCAAUGUUUUUUAAAUGUGAUUUUCUUGGCAAUUAAGGGACCAUUCAUUAUUUAUGACCGGGAGUGGGUUGGCAAAAUUCAAUUAACAACUAAACAAAAUGUCCUGCCCCACCCCCUGGAUCACAAAAAAAUUCAAUGACCCCCUUCACAUGAAUUCUAAAAAAUAGUAAACCCACCACCACCACCGCCGCCACCGCCGCCACCACCACCACCACCACCAACAACAACAACAACAACAACAACAACAACAACAACAACAACAACAACAACAACAACAACAACAACAACAACAACAACAAACAACAACAACAACAACAACAACAACAACAACAACAACAACAACAACAACAACAACAACAACAACAACAACAACAACAACAACAACAACAACAACAACAACAACAACAACAACAACAACAACAACAACAACAACAACAACAACAACAACAACAACAACAGCAACAACAAUAUUGUAAUAAAUGUACAGUACUGUAUAGAAAUAAGCUCUUUAAACUUGUUGUAAAAGGCAUCAGAUCUUUCAUUUACUUGCGAUUUUAACAAUUAAUAUGCAUGCCUAUUUAACCCAUUAAGCUGCAGAGUUUCUUGUUGACGACUGGCGUUAAACAAGCAAAAAAAUAAGUAGGGUGCACUGGGGCGCAAUGGGUUAACUAAAGACAUGUCAGAUUUUUUGGUUAACCCAUUAAGCUGCAGAGCGCCGAAGAGGCUAAAGCUGGGGGUCAUACCAUUUUUCGCUACUAAGAGUGUAGUAAAAAGUUGCUCAAAAAGGAAAAAGUUGCUUGAAGUUGCUCGAGCCGAAAAAAGUGCUCCAAACGCAAAAAGUUGCUCAAAAGUUGCCGAGCACAAUCGGGACAUGCCUAGCAGAGCUUCCCCGUUGACGAGUGAAAUCGGUUAGGAGUAUAGGGUUAAGGUUAGGAAUAGGGUUAGGGUACUACGUCAAUGAACUACAAAUACCUCUAAACAGCUAGUGACUCGGAUAUUUGACUCGGACUUGACAUGGUAAACCGACUAAAUUAAACCAUGUAUCUGAAAUACCUAGUAUAAACUAGUGUACAUAGCAUAUGCGAAACGUUCCGUAAACGUAACGUUGCUACAUCACUUACUCGUUAAUUAUCUUUUUUAUUAAAAUGUACAUAAUUGAAAUAUGACAAAAAUUUAUUGGCAAGUUCAUGUAAAAAAUUAUAAGGUAGAUGUUUGAUUAUUUUUCAUAUUAGCUGCGUGCAUUGCAUUUUGGGUAUUUGUGCAUUGCAUUUUGGGUCUAUCUGUUGAUUAAAAUUGAGAAUUUUGCUAGCUAUACAUGAAUUAAAUUUGCUGCCUUGCUCGCUCCCUGUGGUAACAAUAAUCAUUACAUGUCAAAUUUUUCUCCACUAUAAUACCACUAUAAUAAAUAACUGGACCCCCACCCCCCUCCCUUUUGAACCAAUAUUUUUAGGUGGCCGCCCUUUUCGGUCAAAAAUACCUCAUGACCCACCCCCUUUUUUUGCCAGCCCACCCCCCGUCAUAAAAAUGAAUGGUCCCUAAGUAUUCACACCCUGGCCCUUGGGUCAGUUGUAGUAUACAGCCAACCUCGUACCCAGGGCUAGUCGCGAAUUGAAGUCGACGCUGCCUUCAAUUCGUGACUAGCCCUGGGUACGAGGUUGGUAUACAGCUGGUCAGCUAUUAAUUACUAGUUAAUUUGGAAAAAUCUUGAAUAUCUCAAAAAGUUUAUGCCUUAUGGAAUGUGGGAAGUUAUAACUAUAAGCUUGACGGGCUAUAAAUCGCUUACAUUGCAUUGUAAAUGAUGGCAUUUUUGUCCUCGUUGGCUACUUGGAACCGGAGGACGAGAUGAGGUGCAACAAAAUUUUCCGUCUUUAAAGGAAGAUAUUCUUAGGAGCCGGCCGCCAGCGAUAAAGACUAAAAUCAAGGGCAGGGUGGGGGGCUAUAGAUUCAGUUCUAUUAUGUCUUGAAAAAACGGUGAGCUUUUUCCAUCGCCAGGUAGUUCAAGUAUGCUAAUUUGCUCAGUGGCGAUUUUAGCUCCAUCAAGUCAUCUAGACUGAUUAAAACCAAUUAUAAUGUGAUUGUUUGCAGCACCCCCAAAACAAAUGCCACUGAAUCAUUAUAUGACACGCCUCCAAGCGAAAAGAGAGCAAGACCAACCUUGCUUUCCAGUGCGCGGGAAGACAGGCGAGAUGGACAAGACGCGGUAAGAACAAGAGAUUGUUUUUUUUGUGAUAUUUAAUUUUUAGGGAUUUCAUCAUGAAUAUUAGCGAGAUGAAAAAAUAUCUUUCUGAAAACCUCGAAUGUCCCAAUAUUACUUCUACAACUGCACGAGACGCCGUCCAAUGAAUACUUAUUCCGCUUGGCUAUUGACAUCCGGGAAGGACAAGAAUGUGAGGAAUCAAUGGUCACCGAGUAAUCGAAUAUAGUCAUCACUGACCUAAAAAUGUGCUAGAUGAUCUGGAACGGAGUGCGCUAUAUUAAUAUAGAAUGACUUAUUUUCUUACUUCCUAUACUAUUUUUAUCCACAUUUAAUUGACCAAAUCUUAUUCGAUUUGUACUUGGCAAUGUUUACUUAGAUUAGUCCCGCAAGAUAUUAACUGUCAGUAUUGUGUUCAUAGAUACUUGAAAUCGAAGGCAAGCCAGCAGUAACACAUAAGCUCAUAAAUGGCUACAUUGAGCAUUGCAAAAAAGGCUGUGACAACUGCAGACAUAUGAUGCAGAUGGUACGUUUGAUUGUCACGGAGGCCAAAGAAUGUGUCGUAAGGAUUUCGAGAUCAUGUGCUAUGCUGAGCAUUUUUCUGUGGGAUUUUGGUCUGGUGCUCGCCAAAACAAAUUUGUUGUCCAAGUGGUUGCAGGAAAAAUACAUGUAAGUGUAACUGAUGAAAGUUGGCGAAUGUGGUUUCAGAGAGUUGUUUCAGAAUCUUGGUAUAUGUUCAAGGAUGUGGCUCUACAUAUUCUGGAUAAAGCUGCUGAUAUGCUUAACGCAAUCGGCGGACCGCAAGGAGCUAUUGCCGGUGCUGCUCUCAGAGCUAUUGCUUGGUAACUGAACAUAAAAUAGCUAUUAAGAAUAUCAAGCAUGAAGAGCAAAGAAAAACAAACUAUAUGAACAAUGUAAUGCGUUGUAUGAUACUGUAAGGGACGGACCAUUAGAAAAGUGAUGGGGAGGGUGGGGAAAAAACAGAAAAAAAAUCCAUGCAAACAAAAAAGGUUUGAAAAAAAAUACAUGCAAACAGACUUGUUUAAAAAAAAAUUACAAGCAGAACAACAAUAGAACUCUAACGUACGUCAGACAAAAUUGAACUAAAUCUUUGGAAUAUUUCAGAAUAUAAAUAUAUCAAAAUAUAUAAUAUAUUAAUAUGCAAUUUCUUUCAAUAUUAACAGUAACUCUUAUGUAGUUUUAUUAUAUACUAUCAAAAUAUUUUCUAUUGUAUUUAAUAAAAAUUUUCCGGGUGAGCAUAAAACUUGUCCAUAUAUGGCGCUUAAAGAUAUAAUUUUGCAGUGUGUAUUAAAGGGAUAUUUUUUUGUCAAGAGAACAGUUUCGUUAACAUUUGUAUAGUUGUAUUGGAAAAAAAAAUGCAUGCGAGAAGACAUAUUUAAAAAUAAACAUGCAUACACAGCUGACAAACCUGGAAAAAAAUGCAAACAAAAAAAAUUUACCC